CCACCUGCAGCGGAUAGCUCACCCACCAAUAAGCAAAUGACACGACCCCUAUUAACCAAUGCCAUCUGCUUCUGUAACCGACACUUGCUUUGCGGUUUUUGGCUUUAUAUACUCUGCACUCCCCUACCCGGGCACUCUCCCCACCAGAGUGUGUCGUGGAGUCCCACGCAUGCUCGGAUAAUAAAACCCCUUGAUUUUUCAUGAGAGCUGGUUCCUUGGGGUCUUCUUUGCGACGGUGAUCUUACAUUUGGAGGCCCCAGCAAGAUCCGCUCCCUCGCCGAAGGAGGCCCCAAUGGCCAUGAAGUGCCUCUCGGGAACACCACUAUGUAAUUGUUAAGUACACUUGAUACCAUUUGGAAGGAAAAACAGGAAAGAUGGAGGAGGCUUCUGUCCAUCAGGGCAGGGAGGCUGGUGCCAGGCGCUCAGACAGCAGAGGUUCCGAUUCUCUAAUGGGAAGCAUGUGUUUCUCCGUGUUCUCUGUAAACACAUGGACCCAGUAACCUCACUGGUCGGCUGGAUGACCCUGACAGGGUUUCUCCACUUGCGGCCCCACUGAAGUUUGGCCCUGAAGGCUCCUUUUGGAGGACUGUCUGAAGCACUGUAGGGUGUCUGACAGCACUCCAGGCUCCUACCAUCACACAUCAGAAGCAUUCUUCCUCCCCAGCAUGAUAAACAAAAAUGUUCCAGACACUACCAAAAGUCCCCUCUGGAGCAAAACUACUUCCAGUGAGAACCUCUGCUCUAGUUUAUUCCCUGGCUCAUGGGACACGGUAACCUGUUCUCCAGAAAGCCUUAAAACAAUGGCCCUAUCAUGGAUGCGCCAACAUGGUCUUGGUAGAUGUCAGAGAAGCUAUUGAGUAAAUACUGCUUAAUUAUCCAAUUUUUAAAAGAAUGGUUCCUUACUUAAAAAUUAUUCAAUUUUUAAGACCAGUUCUUUACCAUCAAACUUACCAGUAACUCAGAAUUCCCUAAGAUUGCCUUUUGGUUUAAUUUCAGCCAAAGUAGGAUGAUGUAUAGGGGAAAGCAUGGUUGUUACUGGCACGCAGUAGGUGCUUAAUAAGGUUUGCUGAAUGAAAGAGCAACUGCUGGAGAAAUCAAGGGAUCAGAGUUAUAGGACCAAUUUGCUCUUUCAAGUGAAUCAUCUCUAAGAUCCUCUCUGGUGCCAAAUUGUUUCUUAGAAAAAAGAAACAUAAAAUUCUGAUGUGAAGAAUCCUGCCACGUGUAAAAUCAAGAAAAUUUUCUUUUGUAGACAGAAUUCAAUUGGAACAAGGACUCAAGGGGGAAAAAUAUUGACAGUGUCAUUUAUUUUGAAGAGAAGAAAUGGUCCAUGGGAUGAAAAGGUCCUUGCUACUCAAGUGUGAUCAGCUAGAGGUUUCUUUGGACAUCUAGGGCUCCACUCCAGGCCUACUAACCCAGCACUUUCAUUUCAGUAGCACCUUCAGUUCUGCAAUUCCCAUGCACAGCCAGGUUUGAGAAGUGCUGUCUAAGAUCCAGGGGCUGCCAACCUCCUUGUGCAGAGCCAGAUGCAUCCUGGAAGACCAAAGCUGCUGCAAUCUGGGAUCAUUUGACCUUUCAGGUCACCUCUUGUUUACUGCACAUUCUUUCUUCUUUUCUCAAGUUGCAUCCCAGCUCCCAAAUGACAAUCAACUCUCCAUCCAGUCAAAACAAAGACAACACAAAUGAUCACCUUUGGAUCCCAGUGGAAAUUUGGAAAGUUUUGCCCUGUGAGAUUUUUAAUGGGGGCAAAGGUGAGAGAAGAUAUGUUCACAAACACAGUCUGGGGGUAGCAGGAAAGGCUCUGGGGCCCAUCCACUGGUUCCUCGGCUUCACAGAUGAAGAAUCCAAGGCUCAGGAGGCAAAGUGACUUCUCCACAUUGCCAAGAGAGGGCUUCUCGCCUAGAUACUCCUUCUCACAACCCUGCGAUGGCCUCCUGUUCCACUGGAGGAGGAUUUUAUUGUUUUCUCAUAUUUAAGCAAUUUAUCUCUUUUCUUUAAAUCUUUGGAACCAUGAGAGAAUGGUUUUCUCUACCAGCAGAAUAACAGCAGCUCCUUUUAGAGAGCAAAGUGUCACUGUGAAAAUACUUAAGAUAAAAUGCCUGGGGUGGGGCCAUGAGACCCUGAGGUCCAGGGGGUGGCAGAAACCAAGGUGACAAAGAGAUAAUGACCAAACUGAGUAGGUUACAUGGAACCAUCUGAUUUUGCUUCUAGAGCUGGCAAGAGAAGAAAAGGACAGAGACGGGAGGCAGGUGGAAGACAGGAGAUGGUGGCAGACCAGAGUGGCUGGGAGGACUGCCGAGAUUGACCUUGAAUCUGAAGUUUACUUUCUGUAAUGUAGGCCUCUUUCUUUUGCCAGCCCUCCUAAAUCUUCAUUGGAAAGCUACAUCUGGGUUUACACCUAGUUUCCUGCCUUUAGAUCUCCCAGUUUAGGUUCCUUUAACCUCCUUUCCAUUCCCAUCAUAUGACAGAAGAAUUUCUCCUCUGUGGCCUCCUAUGUUCGAACGCUGUGCUUUGGCUACAUGGCUGCUGGUGCACCUUCACUUUAAGGGGAUCCUGUUGUCUGGGCCCUGGUUUCUCUACCUGUAGAGUGAGGGUGAUAUAGGAUAAUCUACAAUCUCUUGUGAGGUUUAAACGAAAUGUGGUGACAGUACCUAGUUUAGAACUGGCACAGUAGGGGCUGGAAAAAUGAGGGCCUGCCUGUCAUUCUCCUUGGGGCUGCCUCUGCUUCUCUCCACAGACCUUAGCAAUCUGGCCUUGGGAUCCUUUAUCUCACAUAAUACACUUCUGCACCCACAGAGGAGCUGGGACUCUUUUCCUGUCCUCUUCAAUCCCAUUUCUAUUCACCUGCGAUUCUCAAGUGGUGUUGGAAGCUAGAGUUGUAACUGGGAAAUCACUGCAACAUAUUUAUGUUUUAAUAAUGUUCUGGGGUGAUAGCAAUCAAGACUUCAGAGAUUGCUUAUAAUUGCUACCUCUGUCUCACUCUUUUUUUUUCCCAAAAAAAUGUGCUUGCUCUGGUUAGCAUUUCCUGGUUUGCCUUGGAGGCAAGCUAGGGAAAGCCUUAAGAAUGGAUCAAGGGUUCUGUUCAUUUUAGGAACAGCAAGAGGGGCUGUUGGAGGGAGCCCAUAGCCCAGGCAGGUUGGAUCACAGCCAUAGAUGAAUUGUAAGUGAAAAACAGAUGCAAGCAGGGAUCUGAGCAUCUCCUGAGGACAUAGGUAGUAGGAAGCUCCUGGAAUAAAUGUGGUAGCUCUUGGCCAGAGCAUGCAUCAUGUACUCAUAUAUGUUAACUUGUUUAAUUCUGUUGAAACUUUGGAGGUAGGAAUUACUAUCCCUAUGUCAUUGGGGCCCAGAGGAGGUAACGUGUUGAAAUUCCCCCAGAAGUGGUGCUGGUGGGUUUGAGGGAAGGGCCUUGUGACUCCAAAGCCCAGACUCCUUCUCUUCUGCAGGUCAUACAGUCCUUUAAAACAACAGAAACUCUUCCAACUGAAAGCAUCAUACCACAGUGAUAUAUGUGCACCUAUGUUUAUAGCAGCACAAUUUGUAAUCAUCCGAUCUUGGAAACAACCCAAGUGUCCAUCAACUGAGGAAUGGAUAAAAAAGUUGUGGUAUUUCUAUAUAAUGGAGUAUUACUCAGAUAUAAAGAAGGAUCACAUUAAGAUAUUUAUCAAUAAAUGGGCGCAGCUUGAGACCAUAGUCAUAAGUGAAAUAAAUCAACCUCGCAUGUAUGAAUACUGAAUAGUUUCCCUAAUGUAAGUAAUGAUUCAAAUAUAUAAAAGUAUGUGAUAAUCAUGAUUCCCCCAUUAUGUGGCCUUGAAGCCUUAUAAAGUUUUCACUUAUUAAUUGGAAUGGCUUUAUUCUGGGUUGCUUGAUAUUAUUGCCUGUGAUGAAAUGAACAGCUAUUUCAAAGAAAAUAAGUCAUCGUAAUAGCUAGUGCUGAUUUACUAUCAUCUUGUUUUGAAGCCCUACCAAACUAGGGCUCUUCUGUCUCCAUUGGUUUUAUCAUGAUGUAUCUUGCUGGAUUUUAUUAUAUGUGAUAGUAUAAACAAAAAUUGUUAUAGGCAAAAAGAUAAUAUAGAAACCAUUGUUCGUUUUCUGUUAAAAUACCCGUUCUAAAUACCCUACAGUGCUUUCAUCCACUUGAAUGGUUUUACACUGACUUGAUACGUUUGAAGCUAUAGUAUAUGAAGUUAUAUUCAAACAUUUCAAGGAAAAAGACACCAUGGUAACUACUAGUAAGUCGGGUUAUUUGGUGGUGAAGCACUAGGUUGCUGAAACUGUCAUGCUUUGACCUGUAUUGUUAUGUUGUUAUGUCAUGUUUUAUCUCAAUCUCUGCCUUAUUCAUUAAAAAAAAUUAGUUAUUUUUUAUGAUUUUUUUAAUUAAGGGGAAAAAUCAAAAAAAUUAGCAGGAUAUAUUAUAGUAACUUUUUUGAUUUCCUAUUAACUUGCUUUGAAGUCCUGUAAUACUCCCACUAUCUUGUUUUGACUGAUUAGACUCUGUUCCAUUCUGUAUGAGUAUCAAGUUUGAGGGUAUAGGCAACUACUUUGAAGGCAAUAAGAUUCACUAUGAUGCCCAUUCUGGUUUGACUAUUAUCUUCUUUGGAAGUCCUGUAAUGUUUAUAAGGUUUAGGUUUUAUUGGUCUUAUUCUCUACUGUUUUGUUCAACUUUAUAAUACCUAAUGAGAUAGACAAUUCUUUUUAAGGAAGCAAGAGGCAUUAUGGUAACCAUUGUUGAUAACCUUGUACUCUGUUUUUACAUCAUGUGCUAUGUCUAUUCUUGGUUUUGACUGACAGCUUUGUUUUGCCAUAUUUGACUUUAUUCUCUUCCAAAAAAAAAAGUAAUAAGAACUAAGGAGUAAUAAAACCCAAAAUGUGUAAAUUUUGUUAUAAAAAAGAGAGGAAAAAAAGUGCUCUAAAAGAUACAACUGCAAGUGUGUUUAGGGGCGUUAAAUAGAUGACCAUAUUAAUGUUUUUGAUUGGAUCAUUGAACACAACUGUAUUUAGUCUGUUUGAAUGUUCACUUUGUAUGCUUUGAUACUGCGACUUGAGCAACCAUCUCUAAGAUGAUAAUGUGUAAUCUAUUAACUAGUGAUUUCUUACUUUUUUUUUUGUAGUUCUGUAUUACUUGUACCCUUACACCGCUUUGUUUUGUUUUGUUUUUUUCCUUUUAAAUUAAAAAAAAAAAACAAUGGAAACUCUUCUUUACCUGGAAGAAUAGGCCCUCAUAGGUGGCUGACUGAAGUACAUAUAUAUGCUUGCUUAUAUUUCUGGGGCUGCUUUCUGAUUUUUCCCCAGAACUCUUUCCCAUGCACCCCAUUCCCCAUCCAAGGAAUGAACUGAAUUGUUUCAGCCUUUCCUAUAGCAGCUUCUUUUUACAGCUCCUGGAAGCCCUAUGCAUCACACAUACCCUAUGCACCUAUACCACAACCUUCCUCCCAUAAUGAAUUCCUAGGUCCAAAGCUACUUGCUAAAGUAAUAGAUCUUUUUCUCAUUUGUCUCCCUGGGAAUGGACACUGUUGGUUUAUCAAACUGGGAAAUAUUAUGACUCAAAGAAAAACACCAGGUUCCUCAGGAGACGCUAUUAUCCAACACAAGAGCUUGCUGGUUAGGGCUACCAUCACUAAGACAUUAAAUAAAAGACAAUUCCUCCUUACUUUUUCAUCACCUGUAGAUGCACCUUAUAUGCACAUUUAUUUUACUGAGGAAUAAAAACAUGGUAUUUGAUGCAUUCUCAGAAGGAAGAAAUUUGGCUGAAAUACUUAGGCUCUUUCAUGCAUCUUUUGAACAAUGGCAAAGAACAGGGUUAUCUGUCGAACUCAAUGUGUUCCUUAAUAAUAACUCAGGUGGCAGCCAGAUGAAUAAUGCUCAUGUGGGCAGACUAUUUUCCCUCUUUUGUGACUUUAACCCAAAAGGUACGGCAUUGGCAGAUCUUAUGCAGACACAUGGCUUCUAAGUGACCAUACUUAUGAUAUACACUUGUGUAUAUAAAUAUUUAGGACAUGCAAACCAGUUGAAUAAACACUGAUCCUUCACCUUC